rnacentral:rRNA from 1 species
GACGAACGCUGGCGGCGUGCUUAACACAUGCAAGUCGAACGGAAAGGCCCUGCUUUUGUGGGGUUCUCGAGUGGCGAACGGGUGAGUAACACGUGAGUAACCUGCCCUUGACUUUGGGAUAACUUCAGGAAACUGGGGCUAAUACCGGAUAGGAGCUCCUGCUGCAUGGUGGGGGUUGGAAAGUUUCGGCGGUUGGGGAUGGACUCGCGGCUUAUCAGCUUGUUGGUGGGGUAGUGGCUUACCAAGGCUUUGACGGGUAGCCGGCCUGAGAGGGUGACCGGCCACAUUGGGACUGAGAGACGGCCCAGACUCCUACGGGAGGCAGCAGUGGGGAAUAUUGCACAAUGGGCGGAAGCCUGAUGCAGCAACGCCGCGUGCGGGAUGACGUCCUUCGGGUUGUAAACCGCUUUCGCCUGUGACGAAGCGUGAGUGACGGUAAUGGGUAAAGAAGCACCGGCUAACUACGUG